CUUAAAUUGAAGAGUUUGAUCAUGGCUCAGAUUGAACGCUGGCGGCAGGCCUAACACAUGCAAGUCGAGCGGUAGCACAGGAGAGCU
rnacentral:rRNA from 1 species